GAUGAAGAACGCAGCGAAAUGCGAUAAGUAAUGUGAAUUGCAGAAUUCAGUGAAUCAUCGAGUCUUUGAACGCACAUUGCGCCCCCUGGUAUUCCGGGGGGCAUGCCUGUCCGAGCGUCAUUGCUGCCCUCAAGCACGGCUUGUGUGUUGGGCCUCCGUCCUCCUCCCGGGGGACGGGCCCGAAAGGCAGCGGCGGCACCGCGUCCGGUCCUCGAGCGUAUGGGGCUUCGUCACCCGCUCUUGUAGGCCCGGCCGGCGCUUGCCGACACAUCAAUCUUUUUUCCAGGUUGACCUCGGAUCAGGUAGGGAUACCCGCUGAACUUAAGCAUAUCCAUAAGCGGAGGA
rnacentral:misc_RNA from 1 species